rnacentral:rRNA from 1 species
GGAAUCUUCGGCAAUGGACGAAAGUCUGACCGAGCAACGCCGCGUGAGUGAAGAAGGUUUUCGGAUCGUAAAACUCUGUUGGUAGAGAAGAACGUUGGUGAGGAGUGGAAAGCUCAUCAAGUGACGGUAACUACCCAGAAAGGGACGGCUAACUACGUGCCAG